GACAGCAGCAGCCACGGGAAUACGUAGGGUGCAAGCGUUAAUCGGAAUUACUGGGCGUAAAGCGUGCGCAGGCGGUGAGUUAAGUCUGCUGUGAAAUCCCCGGGCUCAACCUGGGAACUGCAUUUGCGACUGGCAAGCUAGAGUAUGGCAGAGGGGGGUGGAAUUCCGCGUGUAGCAGUGAAAUGCGUAGAUAUGCGGAGGAACACCGAUGGCGAAGGCAGCCCCCUGGGCCAAUACUGACGCUCAUGCACGAAAGCGUGGGGAGCAAACAGGAUUAGAUACCCGCGUAGUCCCUGUCUCUUAUAC
rnacentral:rRNA from 1 species